AGUUACUGUCACCAAAAUCAGACUCUCCUGAAAAAUACAGACAUAGGCAUGUAUCCAAAUGCCUGGCUUACAGUUAGCUACUGUUUACUCUCCGCCCCGGAAGGCUCAGGCUACCCCUGGUCUACAGGAAGUAGGGGGUGGGGUCCUCGCCAAGAGGCAACAUCACACACAGCAGCCGCGCACCUUCCUCACACACUGCACCUUUUAACACCACUCUCCCUGUCUUUGCAUUUCUGUGAUGUUCAGGAUGGUCCAGGACUCAGUUCUCCACCACCACAGCAGCCAGAGCCUGAGAUCUCCUGAGGCUGGGUUCCUGCUGGAUGGACAGAAAGACAGCGGUCUGUCCUCACCAAGGUUCCUCUUACCAAUGGUUUCGGUCUCCCAGACUGAAACAGAGAGAAAGAGAGAGAGAAAAGUCAGAGGUGAGCAACGGGGUAAGAAAAGUCAGGGGCUGCUCUCCUUGGGUCUUGCUGAUCACUUCCUCCUCCUUCCCAACCCCAAACAUUAAAGAGGGCUCUGGGGGACCCAGAAGGCAUGAGGACUAUAAGCUGGGGACAUUGGAGACCUUCAGAACAGAAACGAGUUGAAGCAUUUGAGAAGAGGAGGGAGAUUAGUGCUCCCACAUGUCCAAUCUCUCCAAUAUCCUACACAGCCACAGUCAUCACAACAGGCUACCUGGGAACCGAGAAGAAACAGAGGAAUCCCAUUCUCUCCCUGCAAAGUAUUCAAGGCAAGUCUCACCAAUCAAGCUUUGUGAAUAGAGGUGCUAAAAGACCCUGCCUUAAUGAACCAUUAAGAAUCAGGUGUAAAUAACACCUUCAUUGUGUCACUGCCAGAGGAAGGAGGGAGUGUGGAGUAAAGUGUAUCUUAAGAAAACCUUA